UGGGGAAUUUUGGACAAUGGGGGCAACCCUGAUCCAGCCAUUCCGCGUGAGUGAAGAAGGCCUUCGGGUUGUAAAGCUCUUUUGUCCGGAGCGAAACGGGCGGGGUGAAUAUCCUCGUCUACUGACGGUACCGGAAGAAUAAGCACCGGCUAACUACGUGCCAGCAGCCGCGGUAAUACGUAGGGUGCGAGCGUUAAUCGGAAUUACUGGGCGUAAAGCGUGCGCAGGCGGUUUUGUAAGCCAGAUGUGAAAUCCCCGGGCUCAACCUGGGAAUGGCAUUUGGGACUGCAAGGCUGGAGUGCGGCAGAGGGGACUGGAAUUCCUGGUGUAGCAGUGAAAUGCGUAGAGAUCAGGAGGAAUACCGAUGGCGAAGGCAGGUCCCUGGGUUGACACUGACGCUCAUGCACGAAAGCGUGGGGAGCAAACAGGAUUAGAUACCCCCGUAGUCC
rnacentral:rRNA from 1 species